UUUCCGUUGGUGAACCAGCGGAAGGAUCAUUACUGAGAUCAUGCCCUUAACGAGGUAGACCUCCCACCCUGUGUUAUUACGAUUGUUGCUUUGGCAGGCCGCCCUCGGGCGCUCGGCUUCGGCUGAGGCGUGCCUGCCAGAAGACCCAAACCCUGUAUUUAGUGUUGUCCGAGUACUAUUUUAAUACGUUAAAACUUUCAACAACGGAUCUCUUGGUUCUG
rnacentral:misc_RNA from 1 species